rfam:Schistosoma mattheei strain Denwood, Zambia genome assembly, scaffold: SMTD_scaffold0008438
AUCCAACUGACGAAUUCCAAACAGAAUGAAAUGCGGAUCCUGGAU